rnacentral:rRNA from 1 species
GACGAACGCUGGCGGCGCGCCUAACACAUGCAAGUCGAGCGAUGAACCUUCUAAGAUUUCUUCGGAAUGACUAGAAGUGGAUUAGCGGCGAACGGGUGAGUAACACGUGAGGAACCUGCCUCUCACAAGGGGAUAGCCUCGGGAAACCGGGAUUAAUACCCUAUGACACCGACAGAUCGAGUGAUUUAUCGGUUAAAGAUUUUAUCGGUGAGAGAUGGCCUCGCGUCUAAUUAGCUAGUUGGUGAGAUAAAAGCUCACCAAGGCGACGAUUAGUAACCGGCCUGAGAGGGUGAACGGUCACACUGGAACUGAGACACGGUCCAGACUCCUACGGGAGGCAGCAGUGGGGAAUCUUGCACAAUGGAGGCAACUCUGAUGCAGCGACGCCGCGUGAGCGAUGAAGGCUUUCGAGUCGUAAAGCUCUGUCCUAUGGGAAGAUAAUGACGGUACCAUAGGAGGAAGCCCCGGCUAACUACGUGCCAGCAGCCGCGGUAAUACGUAGGGGGCGAGCGUUGUCCGGAAUCAUUGGGCGUAAAGGGUUCGCAGGCGGUUUAGCAAGUCCGAUGUCAAAUCUAAAGGCUCAACCUUUACCCGCAUUGGAAACUGUUAAACUUGAGUGAAGGAGAGGUAAGUGGAAUUCCUAGUGUAGCGGUGGAAUGCGUAGAUAUUAGGAGGAAUACCAGUGGCGAAGGCGACUUACUGGACUUCAACUGACGCUGAGGAACGAAAGCAUGGGUAGCAAACAGGAUUAGGUACCCUGGUAGUCCAUGCCGUAAACGAUGAGUGCUAGGUGUCGGGAGUCAAAUCUCGGUGCCGGCGUUAACACAAUAAGCACUCCGCCUGGGGAGUACGUGCGCAAGCAUGAAACUCAAAGGAAUUGACGGGGACCCGCACAAGCAGCGGAGCAUGUGGUUUAAUUCGAAGCAACGCGAAGAACCUUACCAGGGCUUGACAUAAUAGAGCUAGGUGUCGAGACACACUGUUCCUUCGGGACUCUAUUACAGGUGGUGCAUGGUUGUCGUCAGCUCGUGUCGUGAGAUGUUGGGUUAAGUCCCGUAACGAGCGCAACCCUUAUGUCUAGUUGCCAGCAUGUAAAGAUGGGAACUCUAGAGAGACUGCCGAUGAUAAAUCGGAGGAAGGUGGGGAUGACGUCAAAUCAUCAUGCCCUUUAUGUCCUGGGCUACACACGUGCUACAAUGGUCGGUACAGAGGGCAGCGAGACAGCGAUGUUAAGCGAAUCUCACAAAGCCGAUCUCAGUUCGGAUUGCAGGCUGCAACUCGCCUGCAUGAAGCUGGAGUUGCUAGUAAUCGCGGAUCAGCAUGCCGCGGUGAAUGCGUUCCCGGGUCU